rnacentral:rRNA from 1 species
UACGUAGGGUGCGAGCGUUUGUCCGGAAUUAUUGGGCGUUAAAGAGCUCGUAGGCGGUGUGUCAUGUCGGCCGUGAAAACCUGCAGCUUAACUGUGGGCGUGCGGUCGAUACGGGCAUCACUGGAGUUCGGCAGGGGAGACUGGAAUUCCUGGUGUAGCGGUGAAAUGCGCAGAUAUCAGGAGGAACACCGGUGGCGAAGGCGGGUCUCUGGGCCGAUACUGACGCUGAGGAGCGAAAGCGUGGGGAGCGAACAGG